CCCAUAAUGGUGAGGAAGGCAUGACAGCUAAUGGUCAGAGCAGGAAGCCAAGAGCUCCCCUCCCAACAACACAAAGGAAGCAGAGAGGGUGAACCGGAAGUGGGGCGGGGCUAUAAACCCUCCAAGCCCACCUCUUCCAGUGCACUUCCUCCAGGAAGGCCACACCUGUGAAAGGUCCUGUGACCUCUUCAAACAGUACCACCAACUGGGGACCAAGCAUAAAAAGCACAGGUGCAUUCUACAUCCAUGUCAGCUGAGUCUCACUGAAACGCGGCUGUCCUUCCUCUCCAGGAGCUUCAGUCUUCACGACCAGCAUCGGUAGACCUGAGCGCUAUGGACUUUGCCCAAAUAAACAGUUCCUCCCUUGGGCUGUUCUUUUGGGUACUUUGGCGUAGCUACAUAAGAUGACCUGACAUGGGAGCAUGCGGAAGACUGAGAGAAUGAGCGCUUCCUCAUGGCCCUGAACACAGAGUGCUCUAUGAGGACUGAAUAAUCUGAAUGAGACCUUGAAAGAUGAAUGAGAUGUUAACAGGUAGGGGUGGGGUAGGGUGGAACACUCUCUGAAACCUGCCAAGGUGUGGCCAGCAGAAAUCACCCAUGGAAGGCCGUGGCUAUGGUCAAAGUUGAUGCUUAAUAUGG